CUCAUAAACUCAGAACACUCUGUGACAUAGAAUGAUGUAAUUUGAGUGCAGAAGUCUGGAGGCUUAAGCUUACAAACAGGAGGUAUAAUAUGUCAGCUUCUGACCCAUCGGACUACAAGCCCUAUCUUCAAUCUUCUACAACACCUUCAGCAUCAAACCCAGUACAUCACUUCCAGUGACAUCUUCAUUUACGCAUGGAUAAGGGUCCCCCCACCCCAGAAGCCAGAGCAAGCCAGCUCCCCUCAGAUGGAGUCACACACAAGAGUGUUAUGAGAGCAAACUGAGCAGUUCCUUGGUGAAUCCUUUGGAAGAUCUUCAGACAGCGGCAGCUCUGAGGAACAACAGAACUGAAAGAUGAUCUGGGACAGAAGAGGCAUUUUCCAAAGAAGGGACUCUCAACUUUGAAGAGGGAGAGAAGAAAUUGUCACAGUGAUUCCGCUGGAGACAGCCUUCCUGCCACUAAGCGGCCCCUGGGGAUUCUCUACCUGAUUUGUUCUUCAUCAGCCUGGCAUCUCCUUGACAAGGCAAUUGUAAUUAGAAUGAACAAAAUGAGCAAUAAAAUCCCUGUUUAUAAUUCAGAUGGUGACAUUAAA